rnacentral:lncRNA from 1 species
GACUUGUUAAGUCUUAUAAUAUAGUCUUAUAAUAUAAAUCUUAUAAUAUAUAGUCUGUAAGACUGAGGGUCUUCUGGAUCUUCAUUUAGACUGGGUGAAACCCUGUGUGGUGCAUGUGCAAACCUUUCUGACAAGCCAUAAAUGAUGGAGUUGAACUUCCAGGUGCCUGCCUCCCUCCAACAGUUGGCUUAGGGCUUUUGGGGUGGUUCACACUGAGCAAAGAAGCUCCCGAUAUGCUUUACAGCUUGGGAACUUGCCUAAAAACAUAUUAUCUUCAGGCAAAGCCCAGACACACAACUUCAGAGCAAAUUCUUCAAACAAAAAUGGUAUAAAACUUCAAAAGCACUGAACACAUUAUGCAUCACCCCAUGCAUCCCACCUCCUUGAUGCAGAGCAAAAGAAAGCUUUGCUAGUGUUGGCUCCUUCAACGCCUGUCAGUAAAUAUAUAUAACUUUGAAAUUCAGGCAGUCUUAGUCCAGGUGGGUCUAGGUACUCCAUGGGUGUGCUGUGGGCCAUACCUGCCUGCUUUUUUCCAGUAGCAAGAUACAUAUGCACGUAUUUUUCUUCAUGUCAGAAAACAGUGAAUAUAUUCUACAGCCCAGUUCCCUCUUCCUAGAAGACCGUAACCACGUGAGAAGAAACCAGCUGCUCGAGGCUCCAGCAGACAGCCCUGGCCAGCUGGAGCUGAAGGAAGCCUGGCUGCAGAGCCAUAUGAAGAGGUGUCUGCCCCUCCUUCACCUGCCCAGGUGUUUUGGGUUCCUUUUCCGUGCUGCAACACAGCUGAGGGGUGAAGAUGAGGAUGAGCUCUGACUGCUGGCCAUCAAACCCGAAGCUGGACUCCCCUUGGGGAAAGCACCAAUGUGUUCGAAGGGUCUGCCUGAGAAGAAAUCAGCUGAAGACAUGGACGUUCAGUCAUAAGCUCAAUGGUGCAGGAACUUUGCUUUUACCUGAAGCACUCAACGAAGGUUUGGAUGCUCAAACAAUGAGGAGAAACAUGAAAGAAGGUAGAGGGAUGUACUGCAAGAGGAGAGGAAACCAACGCUGAGAGAGGGAAAAUGAGUGGUCUUGAAAAGGUCUGGAGAAGGCACGUGUGCAGAGGUGUAGUAAUAGAUAGCGAUGCCAGUAGGUUGGAAAAAGAAGAAGAAAAAAAAAAUAAAAAACACUGUGACUGAGGUUGGUUUGAGCCC